GUCGACGCUGAGCACCAGCUUGCUGGUGUGGAUGAGUGGCGAACGGGUGAGUAAUACGUGAGUAACCUGCCCUUGACUCUGGGAUAAGCCCGGGAAACUGGGUCUAAUACUGGAUGCUACAUGUCACCGCAUGGUGGUGUGUGGAAAGGGUUUACUGGUCUUGGAUGGGCUCACGGCCUAUCAGCUUGUUGGUGAGGUAAUGGCUCACCAAGGCGACGACGGGUAGCCGGCCUGAGAGGGUGACCGGCCACACUGGGACUGAGACACGGCCCAGACUCCUACGGGAGGCAGCAGUGGGGAAUAUUGCACAAUGGGCGAAAGCCUGAUGCAGCGACGCCGCGUGAGGGAUGACGGCCUUCGGGUUGUAAACCUCUUUCAGCAGGGAAGAAGCCACAAGUGACGGUACCUGCAGAAGAAGCGCCGGCUAACUACGUGCCAGCAGCCGCGGUAAUACGUAGGGCGCAAGCGUUGUCCGGAAUUAUUGGGCGUAAAGAGCUCGUAGGCGGUUUGUCGCGUCUGCUGUGAAAGCCCGGGGCUUAACCCCGGGUGUGCAGUGGGUACGGGCAGACUAGAGUGCAGUAGGGGAGACUGGAAUUCCUGGUGUAGCGGUGGAAUGCGCAGAUAUCAGGAGGAACACCGAUGGCGAAGGCAGGUCUCUGGGCUGUUACUGACGCUGAGGAGCGAAAGCAUGGGGAGCGAACAGGAUUAGAUACCCUGGU
rnacentral:rRNA from 1 species